rnacentral:rRNA from 1 species
CCAUGUCUCGUAAUUGGAAUGAGUAAACUUUAAAUCACUUUACGAGUAUCAAUUGGAGGGCAAGUCUGGUGCCAGCAGCCGCGGUAAUUCCAGCUCCAAUAGCGUAUAUUAAAGUUGUUGCAGUUAAAAAGCUCGUAGUUGGAUUUCUGGCAGAGUGACUCCGGCCGCAGCAUUGCGGGUUGGGAGCGCUCUACCAUCCUUCGGUUAACCUUUACGGAAUUCACUUUCUGUGCUGGGGCUCCGAUAUUUUACCUUGAGAAAAUUAGAGUGUUUCAGGCAGGCUUAGCCGGAAUACAUUAGCAUGGAAUAAUGGAAUAGGACUAUGGUCUCGUUGUUGGUUUGGGGGAUCGCAGUAAUGAUUAGUAGGGAUAGUUGGGGGCAUUAGUAUUUAUUAGCUAGAGGUGGAAUUCUCUAAUUUAAUAAAGACUAACUUAUGCGAAAGCAUUUGCCAAGGAUGUUUUCAUUAAUCAAGAACGAAAGUUAGGGGAUCAAAGACGAUCAGAUACCGUCCUAGUCUUAACCAUAAACUAUGCCGACUCGGGAUCGGGAGCGCGUGUUAUCCGCUUUCGGCACCGUAUGAGAAAUCAAAGUCUUUGGGUU